GGGAAAGAGAGAGGGAAGGGGGAGAAGGGGAAAGGGGAGAGAAGGGAAAGAGGGAGGGGGAGGGAGAGAGACGGAUGGGGGGGGAGAGAGACAGAGAGAGAGAGAGAGAGAGAGAGAGAGAGGGGGGAGGAGGAGGGGGGAAGAGAGAGGGAGGGGGACGGGGGGAAGAGAGAGAGAGCGCUCGCCCCCCCCCCCCCCGCGCGGCCCCCCGGGGCGGUCAGGUGACGCGUGACGUCAGGCCGGGGGCGGGGCUCGGGCUCCACCUCCCUCCUCCCUCCGCCCCCCCCCUCCCCGCUGGGCGCGGGCCCGGGCGGGGCCGCGCUGACCGUGAGCGCGCUCCUCGGUUGCGCGCCGCCUGCCCUCCCUCCCUCCCUCCCUCCUUCCUUCCUUCCUUCCCUCCCUCCCUCCCGCCCCGCCUCCCCCGCCGCUCAGCGCCCCGCCCCGCCCCGCAGCGCGCAGCCCCGCACCGGCACCGCCGCCACCAGCAGCAGCCCCGCCAGCAGCAGCAGCAGCAGCAGGAGGAGGAGGAGGAGGAGGCUGCGGCCCCGUUUGGUCCGGGCAGGCCGCCUCUGACCUCUGACCCCGUGCGCACCCUCCCCCCCCCCGGCCGGCCUUUCCCUCCGCGCCCCCGGCCCCUCCUCCGGGAAGCCCGCCGGGACCCUCCCCCUCCUCCUCCCCCUCCUCCAGGCCGCCCUCGGGGCUCCCUCCCAUCCCCCUCCUCCUUCUCCUCCCGGACGCCCUCCGGGAUCCUCCUCCCUCCCCCUCCUCCUCCUCCAGGGCGCCCUCCACAAUCCUCCCCCUCCUCCUCCCUCUCCUCCAGGGCGCCCUCCGGGCUCCUCCCCCUCCCUCCUCCUCCAGGGCGCCCUCCACAAUCCUCCCCUUCCUCCUCCCCCUCCCCCUCGUCCAGGGCGCCCUCCGGAAUCCUCCCCCCUCCUCCAGGGCGCCCUCCGGGAUCCAGCUCCUGCUCCUCCUCCUCCUGGCGGCCCUCCUGGCUUGGGGCGCAGGCCUGGGCCCCGCCGGUUGAUGGAUUACCUGAGAAUGUCUGAGUGUAUCCAGAUCUCAUUUGCGGUUUGUAGAAUUGGCAUUUACACGGUAAGCAAUGUGUGUUUCUGCUGUACCAAACGUUCCAAAUAGGGCAAAAAAUUUCAUUUGAGGCUCUGUUGAAUAAUACUCAAUUAGGGGUAUUUGUUAAGGGCCAAGCACUGCACUAAGUGCUGGGAUGGAUACACGGUGAGCAAGUUGAACACAGUCCUGGGUUCACAGUCUGAAGUACGAGGGUUAAUGGGCAUUUAAUCCCCAUUUUACAGAUGAAAAGACUGAGGCAUGGAGAAGUUGAGAUUUUUCCCACCAUCCCACACAGCAGGGAAUAAUGAUAAUAAUUAUUAAGGUAUUUUUAAGCGCUUAAUAUGUGCCAGGCACUGUACUGAGCGCUGGGGUGGAUACAAGCAAAUCGAGUUGGACACAGUUCCUGUCUAAUGUGGGGUUUACAGUCUCAACAUCCACCUGCCCCCAUUUUCCAGAUGAGAUAACUGAG
rnacentral:lncRNA from 1 species